rnacentral:rRNA from 1 species
AUUGAACGCUGGCGGCAGGCCUAACACAUGCAAGUCGAGCGGUAGCACAGAGAGCUUGCUCUCGGGUGACGAGCGGCGGACGGGUGAGUAAUGUCUGGGAAACUGCCUGAUGGGAGGGGGAUAACUACUGGAAACGGUAGCUAAUACCGCAUAACGUCGCAAGACCAAAGAGGGGGGACCUUCGGGCCUCUUGCCAUCAG